rnacentral:rRNA from 1 species
UACGUAGGCGGCAAGCGUUGUCCGGAUUUACUGGGCGUAAAGGGCGUGCAGGCGGUCUGUUAAGUCUAGGGUGAAAGCUCCCGGCUCAACUGGGAGAGGUCCUUGGAUACUGGCGGACUUGAGGGAGGCAGAGGAAAGUGGAAUUCCCGGUGUAGUGGUGAUAUGCGUAGAUAUCGGGAGGAACACCAGUGGCGAAGGCGGCUUUCUGGGCCUUACCUGACGCUGAGACGCGAAAGCGUGGGGAGCGAACCGG